rnacentral:rRNA from 1 species
UACGUAGGGGGCAAGCGUUGUCCGGAUUCAUUGGGCGUAAAGCGCGUGUAGGCGGUUCGGCAGGUCCGAUGUGAAAACUCGAUGGCUCAACCUCGAGACGUCAUUGGAAACCUCCGGGCUAGAGUCCGGGAGAGGAGAGUGGAAUUCCUGGUGUAGCGGUGAAAUGCGCAGAUAUCAGGAAGAACACCAAUGGCGAAGGCAGCUCUCUGGAACGGUACUGACGCUGAGACGCGAAAGCGUGGGGAGCGAACAGG